rnacentral:rRNA from 1 species
UACGUAGGGGGCAAGCGUUGUCCGGAUUCAUUGGGUGUAAAGAGCUCGUAGGCGGCUUGGCAAGUCGGGUGUGAAAACUCCAGGCUCAACCUGGAGACGCCACCCGAUACUGCCAUGGCUAGAGUCCGGUAGGGGACCACGGAAUUCCUGGUGUAGCGGUGAAAUGCGCAGAUAUCAGGAGGAACACCGGUGGCGAAGGCGGUGGUCUGGGCCGGAACUGACGCUGAGGAGCGAAAGCGUGGGGAGCGAACAGG